UGCAGUGUUGUGUCCUUCAUCGACCAGUUUAGGUCAAAGUAAUGACAACUUAGCACUAGAGUUGAUAUCCUGGAAAGAUAGCUCCUGUUUCGGUCACAUCAACAAGUAGUUGUUUUGGCGAAUUACUAUACAUCUAAAUAUAUAUAGUAUGUAUCUAAAUACGUAGUAAAAGUUGUUGUAUCUAAAAAAGCCAAAAAGUAUUAUAAUUUGGAAUGGAAGUAGUAAUAUGUGCAGCUCUUUUGUUUUAAUACGUUUGAUGAUAUCUGUAAUAAUCAUGGACUGAUGCCUCCUUCAUGACACCACCCCAGCAAAGUUUUUCCGUGACGGCCAGAUCCGUCAGGAGGCAAAAACUGUCAGGAGAGAUCACCUGUUAGGGAAAAAUGAUAGGAAAAGUCAACUUUCAUUGACAAAAACCCGUCACAGAAUACACAAAAUAGUUCGUGAUGGUCUGAACCGUGAGGAAAGAUCUACCAUAUCGGUUGGGAAGAGGUCUAUAUCUGAAUCCAGAACUAUUAUAUUCCAGUCUUAAAAAGGAAAAGAGAAAAAAAAACGAAACGCAAUGAAUCGCGAGCCAUAGGAUCAAAACUCAGCAAAAGUGAACAUACCAAAGAUUAAUUAGGAAUAAUAGAUGUUUGUUGCCUUGAAAUGCUAGCCGAUGAAGGCCAGUUUUUAAGAAAAGCAGUGCACAUGUGAAUCUGUCUGGACCAAGUUUCAUCACAAAUACCUUAACCAAACUGCGAAAAGCUCUAUAUAUGUGACUUCGUGCUUUUUCCUACAUAGUACGUUCACAGCUCUGCUUGCAACAAGCUUCAGGGAGGAGUAAUUAAGCUCACAUAUACAAUACACAUAAUUAAAGGUUACUUGACUGCCAAAAUGCAAUUACGAAAAGGAUGGAUAUGCAAGAAAUUCAGCUUUGACAAUCGCAAGUUCCGGAACCAUAUAUAUAUAAUUAAGCCGCUAUCAAUGCCUUUG
rnacentral:lncRNA from 1 species